rnacentral:rRNA from 1 species
GACGAACGCUGGCGGCGUGCUUAACACAUGCAAGUCGAACGGAAAGGCCCUGCUUUUGUGGGGUGCUCGAGUGGCGAACGGGUGAGUAACACGUGAGUAACCUGCCCUUGACUUUGGGAUAACUUCAGGAAACUGGGGUUAAUACCGGAUAGGAGCUCCUGCUGCAUAGUGGGGGUUGGAAAGUUUCGGCGGUUGGGGAUGGACUCGCGGCUUAUCAGCUUGUUGGUGGGGUAGUGGCUUACCAAGGCUUUGACGGGUAGCCGGCCUGAGAGGGUGACCGGCCACAUUGGGACUGAGAUACGGCCCAGACUCCUACGGGAGGCAGCAGUGGGGAAUAUUGCACAAUGGGCGGAAGCCUGAUGCAGCAACGCCGCGUGCGGGAUGACGGCCUUCGGGUUGUAAACCGCUUUCGCCUGUGACGAAGCGUGAGUGACGGUAAUGGGUAAAGAAGCACCGGCUAACUACGUG